rnacentral:rRNA from 1 species
CCGACGGAGGGGGAUAACUGCUGGAAACGGCUGCUAAUACCGCAUGAAGUCGUGAGACCAAAGUGGGGGACCUUCGGGCCUCACGCCGUCGGAUGAGCCCAGAUGAGAUUAGCUGGUAGGUAGGGUAAAGGCUUACCUAGGCGACGAUCUCUAGCGGGUCUGAAAGGAUACCCCGCCACACUGGAACUGAGACACGGUCCAGACUCCUACGGGAGGGAGCAGUGGGGAAUAUUGCACAAUGGGCGAAAGCCUGAUGCACCCGUGCCACGUGUGUGAACAAGGCCUUCGGGUUGUAAAGCACUUUCAGCGAGGAGGAAGCGAUAAAUGCCAAUACCAGUUAUUUUUGACGUUACCCGCAGAAGAAGCACCGGCUAACUCCGUGCCAGCAGCCGCAGUAAUACGGAGGGUGCGAGCGUUAAUCGGAAUAACUGGGCGUAAAGGGCAUGUAGGCGGUGAGUUUAGUCGGAUGUGAAAUCCCCGAGCUCAACUUGGGAAUGGCAUUUGAAACUGGGUCGCUCGAGGUUUUCUAGAGGGGGGUAGAAUUCCAGGUGUAGCGGUGAAAUGCGUAGAUAUCUGGAGGAAUACCGGUGGCGAAGGCGGCCCCCUGGAGAAAGACUGACGCUGAGGUGCGAAAGCGUGGGGAGCAAACAGGAUUAGAUACCCUGGUAGUCCACGCUGUAAACGAUGUCGAUUUGGAGGUUGCGGUCUUGAACUGUGGCGUCCGGAGCUAACGCGUUAAAUCGACCGCCUGGGGAGUACGGCCGCAAGGUUAAAACUCAAAUGAAUUGACGGGGGCCCGCACAAGCGGUGGAGCAUGUGGUUUAAUUCGAUGCAACGCGAAGAACCUUACCUACUCUUGACAUCCUCGGAACUGCCAGAGAUGCGCAGGUGCCUUCGGGAACCGUGAGACAGGUGCUGCAUGGCUGUCGUCAGCUCGUGUUGUGAAAUGUUGGGUUAAGUCCCGCAACGAGCGCAACCCUUGUCCUUUGUUGCCAUCGCGUAGAGGCGGGAACUCAAAGGAGACUGCCGGUGAUAAACCGGAGGAAGGUGGGGGCGACGUCAAGUCAUCAUGGCCCUUACGAGUAGGGCUACACACGUGCUACAAUGGCGUAUACAAAGGGAUGCGACCCUGCAAGGGCAAGCGGAACUCAGAAAGUACGUCGUAGUCCGGAUUGGAGUCUGCAACUCGACUCCAUGAAGUCGGAAUCGCUAGUAAUCGUAGAUCAGAAUG